rnacentral:rRNA from 1 species
UGUGGUGGUUUUUAAGAAUAGAGUGUUGUCGGUUGAUUUUCUGGUGAGCAAAGGAUGUUAUGUUGUUUAGAGUGGUGAUAGUGUUUUAGACGAGGUGUUUUACAUUGGUUCCAUGAUUCCGCCUCUGUCCGCUUACGGGGGGCAGCAAUGAGGAAUGUUGCGCAAUGGAGGCAACUCUGACGCAGCCAUGCCGCGUGCAGGAAGACGGCCUUACGCGUUGUAAACUGCUUUUAUUGGGGAAGAAACCCCAAGACGUGUCCUGGGUAGACGGUACCGAAAGAAUAAGCACCGGAUAACUUCGUGCCAGCAGCCGUGAUAAUGCGAAGGGUGCAAGCGUUAUCCGGAUUCAUUGGGUUUAAAGGGUGCGUAGGCGGAACAAUAAGUCAGUGGUGAAAUCGGGCAGCUCAACUGUAGACUUGCCAUUGAUACUGGCGUUCUGGAGUGCGGAUGAAGU